CCUACGGGAGGCAGCAGUGAGGAAUAUUGGUCAAUGGGCGAGAGUCUGAACCAGCCAAGUAGCGUGAAGGAUGACUGCCCUAUGGGUUGUAAACUUCUUUUAUAUGGGAAUAAAACGUUCCACGUGUGGGAUUUUGUAUGUACCAUAUGAAUAAGGAUCGGCUAACUCCGUGCCAGCAGCCGCGGUAAUACGGAGGAUCCGAGCGUUAUCCGGAUUUAUUGGGUUUAAAGGGAGCGUAGGUGGAUUGUUAAGUCAGUUGUGAAAGUUUGCGGCUCAACCGUAAAAUUGCAGUUGAAACUGGCAGUCUUGAGUACAGUAGAGGUGGGCGGAAUUCGUGGUGUAGCGGUGAAAUGCUUAGAUAUCACGAAGAACGCCGAUUGCGAAGGCAGUUCACUGGACUGCAACUGACACUGAGGCUCGAAAGUGUGGGUAUCAAACAGGAUUAGAUACCCGGGUAGUC
rnacentral:rRNA from 1 species